AAUAUUGAACUUUUUCACUGCGUAAAUGGACCACGGUUGGCAGCGGGGUGAAGCAUUGCAAGUUUAAUUCCGUGUUUAGCCAUUGUUCUCUUUAUUAUGUCUGGUCUUCACAAGAGAAGGUCACGGAUUGUUUUAUACGAGUAUCUUUCAUUUAUUUGAACCGUAAACUCAGUCCUUUGUCUGGACAAUUGUUCCUUUAUGAUCUAGUCAGGUCAUUACAAUAGUAAUAUGCUCUAAAAACGCUCUUGUGACAAACACACUUUGCUGCCCUGUUUCCAAUCGUCCACAUGGCUGGGAGAACCUAUUCAAAGAGCUGUGAAAUCCUGUCUACGCAAAGGGAUGCAUGUUUUUUUGCACUGCACAGCUGACACAAACGAUCAACUCCUCAAGCUUCAAGUGAUACCAUGUAACUGGAAAUUCCUUCAAAACGAUUGCCUACAGUUAACAUGUAGGGCACUGCAAGGUUGAGUGACCAGGGCCAUCUGGGACUGCCUCCUGGAGGAAUUCAGGUGUGUGAAGGCCACCUGUGUCCUGCAUAACGUCAUGAGGAUGGACACGAGGACCAGGAGGGGGAUCUGUGUGUGGGAUUUCUUCACCACAUACUUUUUUGAGGAGGGUGCUGUUCCCUGGCAACACCGUAGACUACACUAUGCACAAACAAAGGCUCUUUUAAGAGCCAUUCACAUUGCAAUAAGAGUAUUCUUGCAUUUACUUCGCUAUGUCAACUGCAGUUAUAUCAGUUUGAUCUCCAUCUCUUCAUUCAAAGACUCAAUCAUGGACACUCAUUCUGACAGUUGUGGCUGCUUUGCGUGAUGUAUUGUUGUCUUUACCUCCUUGACCUUUUGUGCUGUUGUCUUCGCCCAACAAUGUUUGUACCCUGUGCUCUUGUCAUAUUGUUACUACCAUGUUGUCAUGUUGAGUUGCUACCAUGUUGUCAUGUUGAGUUGCUACCAUGUUGUCAUGUUGAGUUGCUACCAUGUUGUCAUGUUGAGUUGCUACCAUAUUGUCAUGUUGAGUUGCUACCAUGUUGUCAUGUUGAGUUGCUACCAUGUUGUCAUGUUGAGUUGCUACCAUGUUGUCAUGUUGAGUUGCUACCAUGUUGUCAUGUUGAGUUGCUACCAUAUUGUCAUGUUGAGUUGCUACCAUGUUGUCAUGUUGAGUUGCUACCAUAUUGUCAUGUUGAGUUGCUACCAUGUUGUCAUGUUGAGUUGCUACCAUGUUGUCAUGUUGAGUUGCUACCAUGUUGUCAUGUUGAGUUGCUACCAUGCUGUGUUGCUGCCACGUUGUCUUAGGUCUCUUUGUGUAUGGUUGUUGUCGUCUCUUGUCAUGAUGUGUGUUUUGUCCUAUUUUUAUUUAAUUUAUUUUAAUCCCACCCCCACAGGAGGCCUUUUACCUCUUGGUAGGCCGUCAUUGUAAAUAACAAUUUGUUAACUGACUUGGCUCGUUAACUAAAAUAUAAAAUUCUCAGUUUCUCUGUUUUUUUUUUAUUUCUACUUCUCAGGUAAGGGUGUGAUGUCUGUACAAAAACAAAACAUGCUAUUUUAAAAUCACCCAUAUUGAAAAAAUGUAGAACAAUUAGACACCCUAUAACCCACACCUACACACUCAUGUAUCAAUCUGAUUGAUGGAUUGUGUUGUGCAGUAAGCAGGUUCAGGUGUAUAUUAGAUACCCUAUCACCUACACACUCAUGUAUCAAUCUGAUUGAUGGAUUGUGUUGUGCAGGUUCAGGUGUAUAACUGUGGCUCCUUCCACCUCCAAAGAAUAGUCAAGAGGGCCGACCGUGGAGAAUAGUUAUAUCAGCUGUGUCGGUGAACCCCUCCCGCAUCUGAACUGGCUACAUAGAGGGCACAGCAUGAUCAGAGGU